CAGAAAUCAAAAUUAAGCUGCAUCUCUUCUGGGGAUGAAACAUGAAAAGCAGGCCAAUACAAAAGAAUUUGUUAAACUCUGAUUUUCUAGUCGUAGUUUCAAUUCCAUAUCCCUUUCGUUUGUCCUUGAUUUCUGCUAUUUCUUUAGAGGGACUGCGGGAGGACAUCUGCUUAAUCUUCAGCCCCAAAAGAAAUGGAAACAGAAAAGAUGUUAAUAUGUAUUGAUACCAAUCUGGUAGAGCAGCAUAAAAAUUGGUAAUCGAUCAUGUAUAGAUUACAGGUUACAGAGAUGUUGUAAACUACCAAAUAUGAAGACACCAUACAAAAAUGUAGCCAGCGCCUAGAAUUAACGUUUGAUCAAUGGAACAGCGAGAAAAGGAGUGACUUGAAUCUCAUUUUGCAACUACGAAUCAGUAUAAGUAUGCCUAUAUACCUCCAAUGGAACCUCUAAGCUUGCCUCAGCAGUGCAUCCCCCUUGAACAAAAAAAUUAUGGCUUUGUUUCACUGCUCACUCAUGUUGCUUCUAGCUCACCCAUUUUUAUUCAGUUGAUCAGACAAAUCAAUAGUUUGUCAAAUGGACACCAGCAAUCUUCAUCUUCUAGCAAACCUACUUCUUCUAAUUCCUCUUCUGGGAGUUCUAUAAGAAGCUCCUUUAACAGCUCUCUCCAAAUUAUGCACCUCUUCCUCAUCACAGGAUUCAUCAGACCUCCAUCUCGGCCCACCAUUCACAUUUCCAUCCUCAACGGUGAAUACCCUUUCUCUACCACUUGAACCAAUCUCCAUCAGAUCAUCUCUAGAAGUCAUGUUCCAAAGUCCAUCUGAUCUUUUAGAAUGAAUCCCUUUACUAGACACCUGUGCAGAAUCAGUAGGAAACCCAUCAAUGCCACCAGACAUGGCAAUCAGGUUAGCUAUAAACUUGUGGAAAUAAUGGGGGCUUGUAUUUUGGAAUUGCUCAAUGAACCCGUUUUGUUCCAUUUCUGGUGAGAUGCUAUCAAAUUGACCAUCAUGCAGGUGGUUGUCAGGAAGCACUCUCAAUGAAGUUCUGCUGAUAUCCUUUAAUGGUGUGGCACUCAUGGGACUAACUCUAGGAAUUCAACGAGUUGGGGUUCCAUCAUAUUUAACAUUCUUGUGAUUACUAACUUGUGGCUUCAGUCUUUUUCCUGCUUUUAAAUAACCUUUCUUGGAGAAUUGAUGGAGAGCCAUAGUUACCAAGUUCAAAGUAAGCUUCGUUGAUGGAUCCACUGAGUCUUGUUGGAGUUUCAAGAACUGAUGAUUUAAACAGAGUUGUAUGAUUUGUCUGCAGAACAAGAGAAGAAUCAGCAGAUGAUGGAAUCAACAAACUGCUUGACUUUGGCCUUCCUACCAUAGGAAGAUCAGACUUUGCAGGCAUUUCAACGCGUUAACCAGAACUAUUAUAAAUCUCAGACACUGCUUUUCCAGUCUUCACUUGCUGCUGUUGGACUUGUGGUAGCAAUUCAAUGGUUUUAGCCUGGUUAAAGCACAUAAAAUUAACAUAGUUACUCAUUCUUUUUCCCAAAUAUUAUUUGUUUUAAUGUAUUGCUUGCAUGUCACACAAAAACAAGGAUAAAAAUCAUCAGUUAGGCCUCUUCUUAGGGGACAAUAAUAACAAAACUUCUUACCUGUAAGAGUUUACCAUAAGCAGUGUGUGCUUAAGGAACAGUUAGUGAGCUUUUGGACAAAAUCUAGUUCACCUAUGUUUCCAAAUGUGGGAAGGAUUUGAAAACUCAAGCAAAUCAAACUCAAAACCCAUGAACCUUCUCAUGUUUAAGAUGUAUGACUUGUGCAGGAUAAAUUUGAUCCCCCGAAAGAAUGCAUCAAUUCUAACAAGUUUUAAGCACUUAAAAGAAGCCCUCUUCUCCAAUCACUAGCAGAUUUCAUUCUAGACAGAACUUCUUCACCAACAGAAUUCUUUGAAAUGAAGUCCUGCUCCACACUCUGAAGUUUGAGAUCAACUUGGCAUGCCUCAGCAUAUUGGUAGCGCUGAAGAUAAAAUACAACAAGAAGACUUCCAGUGGUUGUCGAAGGAUCAAGCAUUGCACAUUCUAAAAGACAUUUAUGGAUAUAUUUCUCUUCAUUUGAAUUCCAAGGCAACUCUAUCAUUCAAUCUGCCAAUUUGCUCUUGAUGCAAAGACAACAGAUUUCUGUCACUAGGACCCCCACCCAGUCAUCCCAAGUCCUGCAUUCACAUUUUAACUCAUCAGAAGCAUCCUCAGGCAGUCCAUCCUUCCACUUCUUUUCCCUGACUUUGGCGCAGAGCAUCCUCUGAUGCAUGAAAGCUUCAGUCAAAAGUCCACAUUCAACCCUCACCCGAACAGCAGUAACCGCCUCGCUAAGUGAAACCAUCUGUGAUCCAUAACGCCCAGACCACCCUAAGACCAUCAGAGCUGUUUCAGGUGCUUCCCUUUCUAAUAGCACUUGAGCAAUCUUAGGAUGAGUUGAUGGGCCUGAGAUCUCAGGAAGAAGGUGACAAGCUUCCUAAACAAUAUAAUUCGAAGAAUGAUCAGCAUAUUAAAUUGAGGCAGAUCAUACAUCAUAAAACCCUGAAAGACUAGACACAGUUUCAGCAAUCAUGCUUAUAAUGUAGCUAAACACACUGGCAUUCUCAAUACAAAUCUAUGCCCACAUAACACAAUGAAUAUUAUGAACUUUUUUUCUAUGCAUAAUAUAUUCAACAAAAUCAAAUGCUCACUUUAGAAUCUUUCUGAAAAUGGAAGCUGUUACUUUCUUCUAGUGUACUUUUACUAGUUAGACAAAAAGCAAGUUCCAAUAAUUUUAAAUAUAAUUUCUUGAUCUACUAUGAGUCGGUACAAAGACUAUAAUUAAAGUAGUAAAGUAGAUGUUACAAAUAGAGCACAAUUUGGUUACUUGUUAACUUCAACAAGGUACUUUAACUAUAAAUUCAGUUCAAAAUACAAUUUCCAUACCACAUAGAAUGCCUCUUGCGUGUGCCACAUUAUGAAAAUAGAUAAGCCAUUCAAGACUCUGUUAAUCAAGAUAUUAUCACCUACGAAAAAUAAAGGCUUCACAAACAUAUUAUUUUAUAUUGCAUCAAAAUCAGAAGUAGAAACUGGAGACAAUUUACUAUCCACCAUCAGCAUAAUCAUUGAGUUACCUUUAGAGCUUCUUCUGUGUGGUCAUCUAGAAGAUAAAAGGCAAGUGAUUCAAGUAAUGCAUGCCUGGUUAUACCAAAUGCAGCGGCAAAAUCAUCUACAAUGUACCUCCAAGUUCCAUCUGGCAUGGUCCAAUGCUGAUCAAAAAAGUAGAAAAGUAAAAUCGCUUGUUUUGCAACUACUAAGUCAGAACUUCCAUGUAAAAAGAGAACAUCAACAGCAGCUCGAAGACUUUCAAAUGGAUAGCAUCCUGCCACCCCCUCUAUCUUAGACCUAAAAAAUGAUCCAUGGUCUUUCUGCAAAGACGCAAGUUCUAGUUUCUCCCCGAUUUCCUGUACAUAUCCAUGCUCUAUCUCAAGAUUUGCCAAAGCAUCUUCAAUGAACAAGGAACCAGUCUGCAUACUGGACUCAGCAGAUUGAUUCACUGCAUCAGGCCAUGAACGCAUAAUUGCAGCUGAUUUCCUUUCACGGACAACAGAACACCAUGAUGUAAAAUUAGCAUGACGAGGCUUCAUUCUCCAAAAAUUGGUGUCUUAUACACCAUUUCAUAAUCUCCAUAUGCUUAAAACAAUGAAUGAACACCAAGAAACAGUUACAAAUCACAAGCAGAAAGAAAAAGCAUAAGUAAUUUAUGGUUUCAUUCAGACUUGCAGAGUUAAAAUAAACAAUUUGAUGUUCAAAAAAGCAUUCAUGAUAUGCUAAAUAUUAUUAGUACAAAAGCAGCAAUCACCACCAUUAAUGUAAAGAUAACUCUAUACAUAUGUUGUACUUUCUAAUUUUAGAUGGCUUUUGAAGUUUCAACUAAUAAAAUCAUAACCUUGUUAAAAUUCGAAAGUAAUAAAGGGCAACAUCACUUGCUAUUCAAAAUGGAAAAAUAAAGAACGUCAGAGAAUGAUUACAAAUAUAAUAUAUUGAUUAAAUGAAAGAGGUGUAGGCUAGAAAUCCUAAUCUACAUCUCUUUCCCUUCUGAAUAGUGUGUGAUAUUCUCCUUCAGUGAUUUAGAAUCCUAACAAGGUUAUGAUUUUAUUAAUUAAAUAAUCUCAUAGAUAAUAAAUCAAAGAAAUGAAAGAGAUGUAGAUAAAAUACAAAAACUAAGAAUUAGAAAAAAGAUAUGUGAACCUAUAAACAGUAAACACAGCAAUCUAUUCACAAUUUGGUCUUUUAAGCAAUCAAACCUGCUUCGUCUUUAAAAUGCUUUCUUGAAGGACCUGCAAGUCAUGAAGCUGUGCUGAAAGAUUACCCUUAAACGAUGACUCCAAAACUUCAAGCACAUUCAAUAAUCCAGCCAGUUGCACAGAAGGCUUCACAAGAAAAUUCAACCUAGUUUUCAUUUCUUCUGCUUCAAGAUUAUAUAUCCCUUGAAGUUCUAAUACAAUGUUUCCGAAGGUCCGCUUGCACCAAUCCUUCACGACAACUUCAUCCAAUAAGAAAGCAAUGACAGGAUCACUAGACACAGCACUUUCAUCCAUACAAAUAUCUGUAACGUAGUGGCAAAUUAAAGAAACCAAGUUAUUUUCCAUAGCAACAUCAAAUAAAGAAUAAAGACGCUGGACAUCAACAGUCGAUUGAUUGUCCCCAUCUUCUUUCUCCUGAAAUCUUUCAUCGCAUUUUUUAGAAAUAAGGCCAGCCUCUAUGCACUCAUAGUAAAGGCGAUGACGGAGCCUAUUGUUGCUUUUUGCGAUAGGGAUUCUACAAAUUGGGCAAAGAUCACACCGCUGACUACAUUCUGAACAUAAGGAAGAAUGCCCACAUGAGACCAAUGCAUACUGUACAUAGCGUCCACAGCUUCUCAAAUCUCUAGUUGCCCGACAGCGCUCGACUUUUGCUUCACUGCACAACUCAAUUAAAUCAACAGAUGCUAAGUGUUCCAAUGCUUCUUGAACAGCUCGGCUACUGUAGUUGGGUUGCAGAGGCGGAGUGACGGAUCUAGCGGUCCCGCCGCGAUCGGCGAGAGAGGAGGGUGAAAAUCGACCGUUGAGAUGAUUUCGCUCCAUUUCUCUUGAAAGCUAGAGAAAAUGCUUUCAAAACCUUAAUUAAGAAGCACAAUAGCGAGGUAAGGAUGAAAAAGAAAGCAGAGGGAGUGUUUAGGGCUUAAAAAAAGUUAAAAGAACGGCGGAAGGUGAUGCCAUGGGCUCAGCGACAGCCACAUACAGAAUUCAAAUUAGCACUUCUG
rnacentral:misc_RNA from 1 species